rnacentral:rRNA from 1 species
UACGGGGGGGGCAAGCGUUGUUCGGAAUUACUGGGCGUAAAGGGCGUGUAGGCGGGUUCGCAAGUCUGUGGUGAAAGCCUCCAGCUUAACUGGAGAAGUGCCGUGGAUACUGCGAAUCUUGAGGAGGGUAGGGGCGUCUGGAACGGUCGGUGGAGCGGUGAAAUGCGUUGAUAUCGACCGGAACUCCGGUGGCGAAGGCGAGGCGCUGGACCCUUUCUGACGCUGAGGCGCGAAAGCCAGGGGAGCAAACGGG